GGGAGGUAGUGACAAUAAAUAACAAUACGGGGCUCUUUAGGGUCUCGUAAUUGGAAUGAGUACAAUUUAAAUCCCUUAACGAGGAACAAUUGGAGGGCAAGUCUGGUGCCAGCAGCCGCGGUAAUUCCAGCUCCAAUAGCGUAUAUUAAAGUUGUUGCAGUUAAAAAGCUCGUAGUUGAAUUUCGGGAUUGACGUGAUGGUCGUGCCUUACGGGGUAUGAACUGUUGCUGUUGAUUUCUCACCUUCUGGAGAAACUUGAUGUCCUUAAUUGGGUGUCUUGCGGAUCCAGGACCUUUACCUUGAAAAAAUUAGAGUGUUUAAAGCAGGCAUUUUGCUCGAAUACAUUAGCAUGGAAUAAUAGAAUAGGACGGCAUGGUUCUAUUUUGUUGGUUUCUAGGAUCACCGUAAUGAUUAAUAGGGAUAGUUGGG
rnacentral:rRNA from 1 species